CGGGGAGUGUCUGUGUUCAGCCAAUCAAACCUUAGAAGUGAGAUCGGUGGGCGUGACCACUCCGCCCACACUACCCUGUCCCAGCUGCAGCAUGCUUUUGUUCAAACUCAGAAGUGAGACAGUCGGUCCUCAACAGAGGUGCACUUUUACAUUACUUACCCGAUGAGUUCAUAAAACGCUGACAACAACAGUGUCUCUCUUGUCGAGCGCAUUGAAUUUGAUGUAUUUUUAACCAGCAGGGUACCAGUUUUGGAAACCAAAUUAGUUUCUGUUGGACUUUGGUCGCAUGCCGUUGUUCAAACAGGCACAGCAAGGUGUCGCGAGCAACUGGAGUGCUGGAAGAGAAGAGAAGAGGAAUUUUCCUUGAACUAGUUCUUUGUCGGUUUUGUUGGAGUGUGACUGCUGUCAUGUACACUUAGACAUUUUACAUGUUCUUUGACCGAGAAGAGAGAGUAAGCUUAUGCUACCCUUCAUCCUCCUCGCUGGAUAUCUAUGGAGAGGGUGUCCUCCUGUAUGCUCUCUCGCAGCUCUUGGAGUUACUUGCGGCCGAAGCAACACCGUGAGUGUUGAAUUCACCAACCUGGAUAGCAGAAGACGACACACUUAACCUUAUUUGAAUGCCUUUGCAAGGAGUUUGCUGGUUUCUGUGCUGCAGGCAGGGCUUUAAUUUGCUCGGACGGGACUAUGGGGAGAAAGAGGAGGAAGAGUCUUUUGAAUUGCGCAACAAGGAGGACUUAACUCCCAAUGGACGGAAGUCUAACAGUACCAGCAGCCACCAGAUAAGAGCAACAUCUGUUGCUCAGGGGUAUCCAGAGAGGUGUUUGUGUGCAGCACUCUUCUUCUUGGCAAACAUCCCUGUCUUGGUCAUAAUGCACCAUCUGCAUGGCUAAAGGAACGCAACUGUGGUCUACUUUCCCGAUCAAUACAAGAUCAUAGUCACAUGUCCCAGUGGAGACCCCUGAUGGCCUUUUUUAAAGUGAGAUGCAGUCACUUUCCCGGAUCCCUCAUUAAAAUGCAACCUAUACUCCAUCUGCAGAAUUGGGCUUCUCUGGGUGGCUUGGGUUUAAUGUUGGUUUAUUGAAUUGCAGAUGUAUUGUUUGGAGAAGAAUGUGGCCCUGAGAGAUGAGGAUGACCUUGAUCUAAGGAUUGGGUUCCGGCAUAUCUGUAGUCUCUCUACAAGAUAAAUUGUGUGUGAUACUGCUGCAUUUUAACUGUUGUACCUGGGGAAAGUUCAAAUUUGAAACUGAUGUAAUUUUAACGCAAUAAUAGUUUCUAAAAUAAAGCUGGCUCUAUCAUUUGUCAGUAUAGGCUUAUGUAUGGCAGUGCAAAACUGAGUAAUGUGAAGCUGAUAAGGCUUCUCUGCCUUUAGAGCUGCUCUCUCCCCUACAGUGGUGUUACAUCACUGAUUAGAGUCUUGUUUCUAUUGAUUUCUUGCUUGUAAAUAUUCAUGAAUGUGGAUUGACUUGUCUUGAGUCAUAAAAAUGAUAUUGUGUCUGUAUUAAUCUAAGUAAUAUACUUCCCUCUGAGGAACAUUCGGUCUUAAUCUAUCAUGUGGUUAGGCCUGUUCAGUUUAUCAGAUUACUUCUUAAUGGGAGGAACCAUUUAUUGACUGAUGUAACUGACAGUGUUUUACCUAGUGAACUGCAAUUGGUUACUUACUUUUGCACUAAACAAACCUUUUUUGUUGGAAUAAAUCUGCCCAGAUGUUUUGAAGUUUAUUGAUUAUUGAUUCCCAAAUGCAUGCAGGUAAUCAACCUACUUGCACUGUUUUAUGCUGGUUAUUGUAACUGUGUCAAUAGCUCAUGCUGACCCACUCUUAGCCAACACAAUUCGUUUUGCUCCCCAGAGCUCCUCCCCUCAGAAUACACAGAUCUGUCUAGUACUGUUUGGCUUUCCAUGGUGUCAAUGGAGGGGGUGGGGCAAAGAGCGUUGAAGAUGGUCUACAGUGAUUCCCAGGGAAAGUCCCUUAGGGCUACGUUCCAUUGUUUACCCUAAGAGCUCCAUUUCGUCCAGAUCUUGACAAGCCACAUUUUCAGACAGCAGGUCAGACCUCCCUGGGUGUGUGUGUGUGUGUGUGUGUGUGUGUGUGUGUGUGUGUGUGUGUGUGUGUGUGUGUGUGUGUGUGUGUGUGUGUCUUUUGGGCUUCAUAACACUGAAAAACUCCAUUUAGUAGACCUCUGUCUAGCUCCUGCCAAGGAGGACCACAGUUACCCACAGGUGUGGUGGACUCGCUGAAGACAUCCAAAACCUUCACCACGAUCUCCUGCCUUGUUUUCCAACAUGCUGCCAGAAGAUGCCAUGAUCCGUAGCAUUUACAGUACCAAAGCCAUAGGCGACACACUGUUCCUUGCCAGGACUCUUCUCUGUGAGGUUGGAAUCAUGAGUCAGUGCUGAUGCUUGUGUAGGCUUGGCCCUUAAGAGUACAGGGCCAUGUCAAAACCCUUUCCCUGAAUGUUUACCAUCCUCAUUCAAAGAAACUACUCUCAAACAGCUGCCCAAACAGUCACACUGAGCUGAAUGCCUCCAGUGUUGGGACAGCAAGGCACUAAUUUUAGGACAGGACAUCCGUCAUUCUCUCUUCUUUCCAUGUUUCCACUGAAACUUUAUUCAUUUUUUAUGUAACGUGAAGUCACGUUUACCAAUAAACUACCACCACAGAGUGUUUAGGCCUGCACAGUUGUAAGUGUGGGCUGGAGUACCGCAGUGCAUCCUGUUACUUGGAACAAAUGGGCACAGUCCGGCUAUGCUGAAAGCGGGUCCCAUUAACCGUCACUACUGCCCUCUGUCUUCAGAGGUGUCACGGUUCGCUAGUUUAUAUUUGGUUUCCGUUGCGUCUCUGCCUCACCACCUCCAGGCCACACAUCUGGUCUUCAGGCCGACACUGGCUGAGCCCAAGCAUUUCCUCCUGGUUACUCAGCCUCCCAGGAGAGCUAGAGAGAGAGAGAGAGAGAGAGGGAGAGAGAGAAGACUGGGGGAGUGAGAGCGGAAGUCAGCCACGGAACGAACACAUCACGGCAUCUUUCCCUCUUUCCCUCCAUGCUCUGCUCUAGUCUGGAGUGAUUCAUCCUCUGCCCUUCCAAAGGGAGAGCUUUUGCCAGCGCUCUGCAUCGCACGCUAUCCUUGUUUCUCAUCCCACAACCCAUUAACUCUAUUGGAAAGCUAUUUUUCUGUUAAUUGUCACGUUUUGUGGAGAAUUACUCAAAUUAUUC
rnacentral:lncRNA from 15 species